rnacentral:lncRNA from 1 species
CAAAUUUAAAAGAAAUAUCAACAGCAUUUCAAAAGUAGCAAGUCUUCAGUGUGAAGCAUUAAGGGUUCCCCAAGCAGUUAACCCUUCAGGUUUCCCAGCUAAGUUGGUUAAUUUAGUACCCUGCAGAGUUGAGUUUGAUCCCAGACAAAGUUUGUGGAUUCAUCGACAGUUUUGGUCCUCAGUGGAGUAUUUUGAUUCCCAAGUAGAUCGCGUUGGUG